ensembl:lncRNA
CGAGGGGUUUGUAAAUGCUUUUUACUAGAUCUAUUUUUCUAUGUAUGUUAUUUUCGUUUAGGUUUUUCCCCCCCACUAUUUUAAUAUUUUAUUUUUUGACAAACUUGGCUUUCUCCACUUUUACGCCAUCUCAGUGAUUCUGCGGGAGUUGUUUCCACCCAUCUCGUGACUUGUGCUAAUGAAAGGGGUUCUCGUGACACGCUGGUUCACACAGUGACGUAUGAAGGAGGAGAUUCCGGAAGUCGAAUGCAGUUCCAAUCGAUGUCCACAAGAUGGCGCAAUAAGUUCCAGUCAGGAGGCUAUUGAUUGCCUCCCUCUCCUCCAGAGCAACCGACAACAACACGCGGCAACAGAUGGUGGGGCCCCACGGAUCUCGGCGUCACGGACUCAGUGGGAUUGUUGUACGUUAGGAGACAGAAAACACCGAGACAGCUCGAGGAGGGCUGUAGUCCAGUAUUUCUCACCUAGCACUGGAAUUAAAAUUGGACUGUCAAACUUCUUUAGAAAAUCAUCAUCGCUGUUCCUUUAUAAACGCUGUGGUGUUUGUUUUAUUCCUCACACGUAGAUGGUUGUUGAAUUAUUUCUGAAUCAUUGCGUUGUAUUUUAGUACUGUUUUCUAUCACUUGUAAUCAUGAAAAUUAACGCGGAUUAAAGGAGCUACUGAUAUUUAAUAUUAAGAAUAA